UGUGUGUAUAUGUAGAGCAAUGGAUAAUUUACAUCAAAUUAGAGAACAAUGGUUGUCUGUUGGAGUUAACAAAAGUACUGUUCAUAAAAAACAAGACAAUUGAAGUUCUUCAUUUAAUCCCUUCGGAUAUACACAGUCCAUAUAAUAGAUCCACUUAGCUUCACAUUGUAACAAAAGCCUGUGAC